CCAAAUCUCAUGGCGCCACCGAUUUCCAGAUUCAUGGAUAAUCUGCUAUGGAGUAAACAGUGCCAGGAUGACGGCCCCAAAGGAAAGGAUGCACCAUGGUGACUCUGCCUGUGCUGUGAAAACUCCACCUAGCUGUAUAAGGAAAGAAGAGUUGUAAGGUUAUAUGAUGAAUUUCCAUCCUCCACGUCCUCUUCCCACUGGAAUCCUUCUUAACAAGUUGUCUCCUUACUUUGACGUCUCUUUUGUGUAUGACUCACUGAGUUUGAUUAGUUUCUUUCCCUGAGCAUGGAUGGAGGUUAUUUAUUGGAACAUGAGCAACUCAUCUGUGGCUACACAACUGAAGAAAGAAAACAACCUCCCCCAACAACUGCUCAUUGUUAAUAGUCCUUCAGGGAGGAGUGGGGCCUCGUGGACUUCUUUCCUUCCCCAUGCAUGAUGAACAUGUCAAGAGUCCAGUUGGUGUGGGUCUUGC
rnacentral:lncRNA from 1 species